rnacentral:rRNA from 1 species
GAGCGAAUGGAUUAAGAGCUUGCUCUUAUGAAGUUAGCGGCGGACGGGUGAGUAACACGUGGGUAACCUGCCCAUAAGACUGGGAUAACUCCGGGAAACCGGGGCUAAUACCGGAUAACAUUUUGAACCGCAUGGUUCGAAAUUGAAAGGCGGCUUCGGCUGUCACUUAUGGAUGGACCCGCGUCGCAUUAGCUAGUUGGUGAGGUAACGGCUCACCAAGGCAACGAUGCGUAGCCGACCUGAGAGGGUGAUCGGCCACACUGGGACUGAGACACGGCCCAGACUCCUACGGGAGGCAGCAGUAGGGAAUCUUCCGCAAUGGACGAAAGUCUGACGGAGCAACGCCGCGUGAGUGAUGAAGGCUUUCGGGUCGUAAAACUCUGUUGUUAGGGAAGAACAAGUGCUAGUUGAAUAAGCUGGCACCUUGACGGUACCUAACCAGAAAGCCACGGCUAACUACGUGCCAGCAGC